GACGAACGCUGGCGGCGGGCUUAACACAUGCAAGUCGAACGGAAAGGCCCUGCUUUUGUGGGGUGCUCGAGUGGCGAACGGGUGAGUAACACGUGAGUAACCUGCCCUUGACUUUGGGAUAACUUCAGGAAACUGGGGCUAAUACCGGAUAGGAGCUCCUGCUGCAUGGUGGGGGUUGGAAAGUUUCGGCGGUGGGGGAUGGACUCGCGGCUUAUCAGCUUGUUGGUGGGGUAGUGGCUUACCAAGGCUUUGACGGGUAGCCGGCCUGAGAGGGUGACCGGCCACAUUGGGACUGAGAUACGGACCAGACUCCUACGGGAGGCAGCAGUGGGGAAUAUUGCACAAUGGGCGGAAGCCUGAUGAAGCAACGCCGCGUGCGGGAUGACGGCCUUCGGGUUGUAAACCGCUUUCGCCUGUGACGAAGCGUGAGUGACGGUAAUGGGUAAAGAAGCACCGGCUAACUACGUG
rnacentral:rRNA from 1 species